AUUGAACGCUGGCGGCAUGCUUUACACAUGCAAGUCGAACGGUAACAGGCCGCAAGGUGCUGACGAGUGGCGAACGGGUGAGUAAUGCAUCGGAACGUGCCCAGUCGUGGGGGAUAACGCAGCGAAAGCUGCGCUAAUACCGCAUACGAUCUGUGGAUGAAAGCGGGGGACCGUAAGGCCUCGCGCGAUUGGAGCGGCCGAUGUCAGAUUAGGUAGUUGGUGGGGUAAAGGCUCACCAAGCCAACGAUCUGUAGCUGGUCUGAGAGGACGACCAGCCACACUGGGACUGAGACACGGCCCAGACUCCUACGGGAGGCAGCAGUGGGGAAUUUUGGACAAUGGGCGCAAGCCUGAUCCAGCAAUGCCGCGUGCAGGAAGAAGGCCUUCGGGUUGUAAACUGCUUUUGUACGGAACGAAACGGUCCUGGUUAAUACCUGGGGCUAAUGACGGUACCGUAAGAAUAAGCACCGGCUAACUACGUGCCAGCAGCCGCGGUAAGAC
rnacentral:rRNA from 1 species